CAAAACUAAACACAGAGUAACUGAACGCUACCUUCUUACCUUGUAUUAUUAACUAGAAUUUCUGACAUUUGUAACAAAAAAGGGUGUAAUUACAAUAUAGAAAUAGUAAAAUGUAUCUAUUAGGAGAGAGAGGUAUUUGCAGAACAAAAACACACACAGUAAUGAUCUUUCAAGAAAUGCUUGUCAUAUAACAGAAGCCUUUGUAACAUCUACAGUGCAUUCUUCUGUGAAAAAAAGAAGAAAUGAAAGAAACACAAAUAUCAACAGGACUCAGGAAAGCUAAAUCUAGAGGAAGAGGGAGGCCAAAGCGCAGAGGUGCACCUCGUACCUCAAAAAUUCCAGCAGUUAUAAGACAUAGGUUAAAACAAGCUCGCUACCGACGAAACCAUCCUGAGAUCCAUCGUG
rnacentral:misc_RNA from 1 species